rnacentral:rRNA from 1 species
CCUACGGGUGGCUGCAGUGGGGAAUAUUGGACAAUGGGGGCAACCCUGAUCCAGCCAUGCCGCGUGUGUGAAGAAGGCCCUCGGGUUGUAAAGCACUUUCAGUGAGGAAGAACGCCUGGUGGUUAAUACCCAUCAGGAAAGACAUCACUCACAGAAGAAGCACCGGCUAACUCCGUGCCAGCAGCCGCGGUAAUACGGAGGGUGCGAGCGUUAAUCGGAAUUACUGGGCGUAAAGCGCUCGUAGGUGGCUUGAUAAGCCGGUUGUGAAAGCCCCGGGCUCAACCUGGGAACGGCAUCCGGAACUGUCAAGCUAGAGUGCAGGAGAGGAAGGUAGAAUUCCCGGUGUAGCGGUGAAAUGCGUAGAGAUCGGGAGGAAUACCAGUGGCGAAGGCGGCCUUCUGGACUGACACUGACACUGAGGUGCGAAAGCGUGGGUAGCAAACAGGAUUAGAUACCCCAGUAGUC